AUACGUAGGGAGCGAGCGUUGUCCGGAAUUACUGGGCGUAAAGGGCGCGUAGGCGGCGCUUCAAGUCGUCUGUCAAAUGGAAGGGCUUAACCCUUUUUCGCAGACGAAACUGGAGAGCUUGAGAAGCAGAGAGGCAAACAGACUUCCUGAUGUAGCGGUGAAAUGCGUAGAUAUCAGGAAGAAUACCAGUGGCGAAGGCGGUUUGCUGGCUGCAUACUGACGCUGAAGCGCGAAAGCCAGGGGAGCGAACGGGAUUAGAUACCCCGGUAGUCCUGGCAGUAAACGAUGUAUGCUGGGUGUGAGACUAGCGAUAGUUUCGUGCCGAAGUUAACGCGAUAAGCAUACCGCCUGGGGAGUACGGUCGCAAGAUUGAAACUCAAAUGAAUUGACGGGG
rnacentral:rRNA from 1 species